rnacentral:rRNA from 1 species
AACGGUAGGUUCCGAGCGUUAUCCGGAUUUACUGGGCGUAAAGCGCGUUCAGGCGGUUUGGCAAGUCGGGCAUGAAAUCCUUCGGCUCAACCGGGGGGAGGUUGUCCGAUACUGCUGAACUGGAAGGCAGUAGAGGGUGGUGGAAUUCCGGGUGUAGUGGUGAAAUGCGUAGAGAUCCGGAGGAACACCGACGGCGUAGGCAGCGCCCUGGACGACACCUGACGCUGAGGCACGAAAAGCUGGGGGGAGCGAACAGG